UACGAAGGGUGCAAGCGUUAAUCGGAAUUACUGGGCGUAAAGCGUGCGUAGGCGGUUUGUUAAGUCUGCUGUGAAAUCCCCGGGCUCAACCUGGGAAUGGCAUUUGGGACUGCAAGGCUGGAGUGCGGCAGAGGAGACUGGAAUUCCUGGUGUAGCAGUGAAAUGCGUAGAUAUCAGGAGGAAUACCGAUGGCGAAGGCAGGUCUCUGGGCUGACACUGACGCUCAUGCACGAAAGCGUGGGGAGCAAACAGG
rnacentral:rRNA from 1 species